rnacentral:tRNA from 1 species
GGAAAUUUAGUUUAACCCUGAAAACAUUAACUUGUCAAGUUAAAAAUAUUAUUUAAUAAUUUCCC